GAUCGGUCCCCUCGCGACAACAAACUGUGAACCCCGUCAGGCCUGGAAGGGAGCAGCGGCAACAGUGGACUUGGGUGCCGAGGUGUGGCUGGUUUGG
rnacentral:SRP_RNA from 1 species